rnacentral:misc_RNA from 1 species
ACGUUGCGCGAUUUUCGCGCCACCUGGAGUUUAGAUCUUGUACGCCGUCCGGAAACCGCCCCAGUGACGGCCGCGGAUGCGGAUCGGCACGUCGACCUCGCGCAUCAUGAUGGUUUUGCCGUUGCCCAUGUCGCGGGCGUAGCUCUGGAUCAGAUAGGAGCGGGUGUUGCGGCCUGCGGCCAAACCUGCCGGAUCGUUGAAGAUGCGGCGGUUGCGUGAGUUCGC